GACGAACCGUGCGAACGUUGUUCGGAUUCACUGGGCUUAAAGGGCGCGUAGGCGGGCGAUCCAGUCGGGGGUGAAAGUUUUCGGCUCAACCGGAAAAGGGCCUCUGAUACGGGUCGUCUCGAGGGAGGUAGGGGCAUGCGGAACUUCCGGUGGAGCGGUGAAAUGCGUAGAUAUCGGAAGGAACGCCGGUGGCGAAAGCGGCGUGCUGGACCUCUUCUGACGCUGAGGCGCGAAAGCCAGGGGAGCGAACGGGAUUAGAUACCCCGGUAGUCCUGGCCCUAAACGAUGGGUACUAGGUAGUGGACUUGACAUGGGUUCACUGCCGAAGCCAAAGUGUUAAGUACCCCGCCUGGGGAGUAUGGUCGCAAGGCUGAA
rnacentral:rRNA from 1 species